GGGUUGUGAGGUUAAGCGACUAAGCGUACACGGUGGAUGCCCUGGCAGUCAGAGGCGAUGAAGGACGUGCUAAUCUGCGAAAAGCGUCGGUAAGGUGAUAUGAACCGUUAUAACCGGCGAUGUCCGAAUGGGGAAACCCAGUGCAAUUCGUUGCACUAUCGUUAACUGAAUACAUAGGUUAACGAGGCGAACCGGGGGAACUGAAACAUCUAAGUACCCCGAGGAAAAGAAAUCAACCGAGAUUCCCCCAGUAGCGGCGAGCGAACGGGGAGCAGCCCAGAGUCUGAAUCAGCUUGUGUGUUAGUGGAACGGUCUGGAAAGUCCGACGGUACAGGGUGAUAGUCCCGUACACCAAAAUGCACAGGCUGUGAACUCGAAGAGUAGGGCGGGACACGUGGUAUCCUGUCUGAAUAUGGGGGGACCAUCCUCCAAGGCUAAAUACUCCUGACUGACCGAUAGUGAACCAGUACCGUGAGGGAAAGGCGAAAAGAACCCCGGCGAGGGGAGUGAAAAAGAACCUGAAACCGUGUACGUACAAGCAGUGGGAGCACCUUCGGGUGUGACUGCGUACCUUUUGUAUAAUGGGUCAGCGACUUAUAUUCUGUAGCAAGGUUAACCGUAUAGGGGAGCCGCAGGGAAACCGAGUCUUAACUGGGCGUUAAGUUGCAGGGUAUAGACCCGAAACCCGGUGAUCUAGCCAUGGGCAGGUUGAAGGUUGGGUAACACUAACUGGAGGACCGAACCGACUAAUGUUGAAAAAUUAGCGGAUGACUUGUGGCUGGGGGUGAAAGGCCAAUCAAACCGGGAGAUAGCUGGUUCUCCCCGAAAGCUAUUUAGGUAGCGCCUCGUGAAUUCAUCUUCGGGGGUAGAGCACUGUUUCGGCUAGGGGGUCAUCCCGACUUACCAACCCGAUGCAAACUACGAAUACCGAAGAAUGUUAUCACGGGAGACACACGGCGGGUGCUAACGUCCGUCGUGAAGAGGGAAACAACCCAGACCGCCAGCUAAGGUCCCAAAGUCAUGGUUAAGUGGGAAACGAUGUGGGAAGGCACAGACAGCCAGGAUGUUGGCUUAGAAGCAGCCAUCAUUUAAAGAAAGCGUAAUAGCUCACUGGUCGAGUCGGCCUGCGCGGAAGAUGUAACGGGGCUAAACCAUGCACCGAAGCUGCGGCAGCGACACUAUGUGUUGUUGGGUAGGGGAGCGUUCUGUAAGCCUGCGAAGGUG
rnacentral:rRNA from 2 species